CGAACGGGUGAGUAACGCGUGAGGAACCUGCCUCAAAGAGGGGGACAACAGUUGGAAACGACUGCUAAUACCGCAUAAGCCCACGGGUCGGCAUCGACCUGAGGGAAAAGGAGCAAUCCGCUUUGAGAUGGCCUCGCGUCCGAUUAGCUAGUUGGUGAGGUAAUGGCCCACCAAGGCGACGAUCGGUAGCCGGACUGAGAGGUUGAACGGCCACAUUGGGGCUGAGACACGGCCCAG
rnacentral:rRNA from 1 species